CAACUUGAGAGUUUGAUCCUGGCUCAGAACGAACGCUGGCGGCACGCCUAACACAUGCAAGUCGAGCGCAUCCUUCGGGAUGAGCGGCGGACGGGUUAGUAACGCGUGGGAACAUACCCUUCUCUACGGAAUAGUCUCGGGAAACUGGGGGUAAUACCGUAUACGCCCUUCGGGGGAAAGAUUUAUCGGAGUUGGAUUGGCCCGCGUAAGAUUAGUUAGUUGGUGGGGUAAUGGCCUACCAAGACGACGAUCUUUAGCUGGUUUGAGAGGAUGAUCAGCAACACUGGGACUGAGACACUGCCCAGACUCCUACGGGAGGCUGCAGUCGAGAA
rnacentral:rRNA from 1 species